rnacentral:lncRNA from 1 species
CGACCAAAUCAAGCAGCAACAGGAUGAAUGGACUCUAUUAGUAGGAGUUCCAUCCCGCUUUGGCACUUUGAUUUCCGUUUUAUGAUGGACGUGAUGGGAUAUGUGACAAAAAUAAAAAAUUCCAAAUGAUCUUCUCUGUGCAUGUAUUAAAGAAUUAUUGUUCAGCAUAAUCGGCAUUCACAAGAUCCCAUGAGCCUACCUUUCCUAUGCUCCCGUAGAACAUGAUA